AUUGAACGCUGGCGGCAUGCCUUACACAUGCAAGUCGAAUGGUAACAGGUCUUCGGAUGCUGACGAGUGGCGAACGGGUGAGUAAUACAUCGGAACGUGCCCGAGAGUGGGGAUAACGAGGCGAAAGCUUUGCUAAUACCGCAUACGAUCUCAGGAUGAAAGCAGGGGACCGCAAGGCCUUGCGCUCACGGAGCGGCCGAUGGCAGAUUAGGUAGUUGGUGGGAUAAAAGCUUACCAAGCCGACGAUCUGUAGCUGGUCUGAGAGGACGACCAGCCACACUGGGACUGAGUCACGGCCCAGACUCCUACGGGAGGCAGCAGUGGGGAAUUUUGGACAAUGGGCGCAAGCCUGAUCCAGCCAUGCCGCGUGCAGGAUGAAGGCCUUCGGGUUGUAAACUGCUUUUGUACGGAACGAAAAGACUCUGGUUAAUACCUGGGGUCCAUGACGGUACCGUAAGAAUAAGCACCGGCUAACUACGUGCCAGCAGCCGCUGUAAAAC
rnacentral:rRNA from 1 species